GAGUUUUGAUAACUUGUUUUGAUAACUUUUUGAUAACCAUUACUCAUAUUAUAAUAAAACAACGGGAACCAUUAAGCCCCCGUUAUCUAUU
rnacentral:sRNA from 1 species